AUUCAGAAUCGAUGAAAUAAUUGAAGACACUUCCUGAUGAUGGGAUUUUAAUAGUUUUAAACUCGGUUAACCACCAUUUGGAAAAUUCAACUCGCCAAUCAAUCAACUAAAUGAAAACCGAUUGAGCGUAAUAAUCACAAAGCACCUGAUCUUGGAAUGUUGCCGAUCCGAAAGCCCAAAGACAAGCGAACACAAAGUACAUUUCGUACACAUCUCUAGUGGUUUCUGGAGGACAAUUUAUCGGAGUCAGAAGACAAUCGACGCCUCUAAACAGAUUGGCACAUAUUUUUCAAAUAAUACCAAAAGAGCGGCUUUUUCGGUCGCAUUAUCCCUAGUGUCAAUCCAACUAGCAACAUAAGGGUUCCAGCCGAGAUCUGCUGGGUUUAAGUAGAGUAUACCAGCUCGAGAAACAGUGGCUGGCGUAGCCGACCGCAAAUUAGAUAUCUCGAACAGUAGACGCAUUGUUGGUGUAAGAGCAAUACGUUCAUUGCUCGCCAAUGUCAACACCUGUAUUGUAUAUAAUAGCAAUAUAAUUUUGAGCUGAACGAAAAAUAUAUUGAAUUUACAACUAAGUAUGUAUGUUUAUUUUUAAUUCUAAGGGGGGAGGGGAGAUGUGUAUGUAUUUAUUUUAAAAUUACGUGAGUGUGUUUACUACUAUGUUUACACGAUAAGUAGGUAGUCGAAAAAUAGUUAUAUUUUCAACUUAAAAGGUGUAUAUACUGCUUAUCCACAAAAAUGUUAUCUAGUUGUAGACUUUUAGAGGCUGCAUAUUACAAGCGUCUGAAAAAUAGGUAAGUACAGUAAUAGUACAGUAUACUCUCGAUUGGGCGAUUGUAAACUCCGCCAGAAUACCGGUCAAGAUAAAAAGGUAUUAAAAGGUCUAAUGUAAACUCCGUCAGUUUUUUUUCUUACCUGUAAUGGGUAUAUGUAAACUCAGCCAGUUUCAAAAUUCAAAAAAAAAAAAAAAUGACAGUGU